GACGAACCGUGCGAACGUUGUUCGGAAUCACUGGGCUUAAAGGGCGCGUAGGCGGGCUGUCAAGUCUGGGGCGAAAUGCUGCGGCUCAACCGUAGAACUGCCUCAGAUACUGACGGCCUCGAGGAAGGUAGGGGCAUGCGGAACUGUAGGUGGAGCGGUGAAAUGCGUUGAUAUCUACAGGAACUCCGGUGGCGAAAGCGGCGUGCUGGACCUUUUCUGACGCUGAGGCGCGAAAGCUAGGGGAGCAAACGGG
rnacentral:rRNA from 1 species